AUGAACAAAGAUUUUGAGUUUUCGAGUAGAGUUACGCCGAACGACUACUGACUGGGACGCGCAAAUUGCAAUCGAGGGGUGUUACCAUUGUAUAAAAACCCCUGUUUCCUCCCAAAUCAGCUCCUAACUCAAAUUCUUGUUCGUGUUCUGCUCUCUGAGACUCUGACCAAAACAAAAAUAAAAUCUUGGGAAUUCGUCGGAAGAAAAAAAAAAAAAUUGGACGCCAUUGAUUCAGUGUUUGAUCCGCUAAGAGAAUUCUCCAAGGACAGCGUUCGCCUCGUCAAGCGCUGUCAUAAACCCGACCGCAAAGGUAAUUCCAAUUUCCAUCCAUUUCCAAUCCUAUCUUCACUCCGAUCCAAUUCGUUUUUCUUAUAAUUAAUCCAAUGUUUACGCUAAUUGUAAUGUAAUCCUGUUAAUUUGAACAUCUUUCAUAUGGGAUCUGUGUUUUGAACUGACUAAUCUUUCCCGUGCGAUUUUCUUUUUUCUAUUUGAAUGCAACAGAGUUCACAAAGGUGGCGGUCCGUACGGCUAUCGGGUUCGUGGUCAUGGGGUUCGUUGGCUUCUUCGUGAAGCUCAUCUUCAUCCCGAUCAACAACAUCAUCGUCGGAUCUGGUUAAAGUAAGACUCUCUUCUUGACACACAGAAUUAAACUUGUAUUCGUUUCUUUCUUCUUUGAUGAUCGCUUUGUAUGCAAUGGGUUUCGCAAUUGAAACUCUCAUUUCUGCUUCUCGAUUACCACCACUUGAGUGUUUGAUCAUCGUGUUGAUUAUUUGUAAUGUUUGUGGCGCAGGUCGUUUGGCAUUUUGAUAGAAAGAUGAAAGUAAAGUUGGCAGUGAACACUAGGGAUAAGUUGUGGCACCACCGAGUGCAUAGGAUGUUUACAGUGUUUUAGACAUUUAUUUCUUCAAGCGAGUUGAAAUGAUGUUUCAGAAACAGAACUUCUCACUGUACUCUCUUAGCUUGUGCUAUUGUAAUUCCAAGCAUCUUUUGAUCAUUGUGCACCUUCUCUCUUGGUCCUGUCCAGCAUAGCUUUCUUGUUCUCAAUUGAAGCCAAAUUGAUUGGUCCUGUC
rnacentral:lncRNA from 1 species